CCGCCCCCGAAACCCGCGGGAAAUCUGUUUCCUGUGAGAGGCCUGGCCUCCGGGCAUUGGCGGUUUCCCUGAUCCUCUCUCUCAAAUUUUCCGGCAGGGGAUCGAUCGAGGCGACAUUUAGGACUGCGGUGGGCGAGGGAGUGGCGGUUCUCGUCCCAAGUUACAGGUGAGGACGUGCAGGCCAAGGCGUAGCCAAGAUCGCACCGCCCUGUAGCUGGAGGAGGCGCCGGGAUUCGAACCAAGGCUGUGCCCAAUCCUAAGCCCUGCGAAGUCUUGUGGAACCGACAUGACCCACUCUUUGGUUUGUCCAGAGACAGUGAGCAGGGUGAGUUCAGUGCUGAAUCGCAACACUCGGCAGUUUGGAAAAAAACAUCUUUUCGACCAGGAUGAGGAGACAUGUUGGAACUCAGACCAGGGCCCCUCCCAGUGGGUGACGCUGGAGUUUCCCCAGCUCAUCUGUGUCUCCCAGCUGCAGAUCCAGUUUCAGGGUGGCUUCUCCAGUCGCCGGGGCUGCCUGGAAGGUACUAGAAGGCCCUGGGUGGCGGGGGUUCCAGGGGUCACCCCCGACACUCAUUGCCUUUCUCUGUUGAAGGUUCACAGGGCACUCAGGCUCUCCGCAAGAUUGUAGAUUUCUACCCUGAGGACAACAACUCGCUUCAGAUAUCCUGCCCCUGCUUCUGGGAUAGGUGGUCUGUGCCUCUGGAAGCUUUGGACUCACCCAAACCUGAAUGGGAAGGAACCCUGAUGUGUGAUCUUGAACACGUGACCUCUAGGACUCCAUCACUUUUUCUGUAAAAUGGGGCUGAUGACCACCUGUUCUGUGUGAGAGGCUUAGAGGGGCCUGCAGCUUCCCCAGGUUGCCCACAUCGGUGGAGUCUGAGCUGGGUCUGGAAGGGGUGGGGGCCUGCGGGUGGGAAACCAGAAAUCACCAGUUUUCCUUGACUGCCCACGCUCACACUUUCCCCAUACCAGCUGCUGAAGUGGACCGGCUGAAGGUGACGUUUGAGGAUGCCACUGACUUUUUUGGCCGUGUGGUCAUCUACCACCUGCGGGUGCUUGGGGAGAAGGUGUGAGACCUCUGGGGGCUGUCUCCUCCAGGAAGCCCUCCGGGAAGCACAGCAAAGUCCCUCAUUCUGCACAGAAGGUUUAUUGGUUCCUCUUGGGAAGGGUCCCCUCCCACCACCUGUCCAGGAGCUGCCUUUGAAGCCAGUUCUGGGUUUCCCCAGCUCUGGCUGACCAUUUUGUUCCCUGAGUGUCUGAGUCCCCGGCAGGCGGCCUUCACUCAGGGUCAGCGGGCACCAGGUUGCUCUGGAAGAGCUUGAGGAUGUGGUUCUCGAUCACCUGUUGCACUGAGAUGGGGCAGGGAAAAGGUGGGCUGUGAGCUUGAAUUGGGAGGGGCAUGGAGGCGCAGGCCAACCUGCGCUCUCCCUUUAGGGGACAAACAGGGACCCUUACAGAGACCUGCAUUACAGAGCAAAGCUGGGAGAACCAAGGCCUCAUCCCAGGAACCUCAACUUCCCCUAAGUUUGUAAAAAUGCAUUUUUGUAGCUUUUCAGAAUUAUUAAUAUAAAAAUA
rnacentral:sRNA from 1 species